rnacentral:rRNA from 1 species
CAGGACGAACGCUGGCGGCGUGCCUAACACAUGCAAGUCGAGCGAGGAGAUUCCUCGGGAUGAUCCUAGCGGCGGACGGGUGAGUAACACGUGGGCAACCUGCCUCAUAGAGAGGAAUAGCCUUCCGAAAGGGAGAUUAAUACCUCAUAACAUUGCAGUUUCGCAUGGAACAGCAAUUAAAGGAGCAAUCCGCUAUGAGAUGGGCCCGCGGCGCAUUAGCUAGUUGGUGAGGUAACGGCUCACCAAGGCGACGAUGCGUAGCCGACCUGAGAGGGUGAUCGGCCACAUUGGGACUGAGACACGGCCCAGACUCCUACGGGAGGCAGCAGUGGGGAAUAUUGCACAAUGGGGGAAACCCUGAUGCAGCCAACGCCGCGUGAGUGAUGACGGCCUUCGGGUUGUAAAGCUCUGUCUUCAGGGACGAUAAUGACGGUACCUGAGGAGGAAGCCACGGCUAACUACGUGCCAGCAGCAGC